rnacentral:lncRNA from 1 species
UUCUUCAUUUCCAUGGGAGCCUCCCAUAAAGCUUCCAUAGCUCUCUCAAAUUAACUUUAAUUUACAUGUUUUGGUGCACUUUUUCAUAGAACCUUUGGUGCUCUUUCACUUCUACACUUCAAAGACCCUCAAAAGUCUUUCCUCAAUACUUUCUCUCACUAGCUAGAAGUUUAAAGAGAGAGAAAAAGGGAUUUUCCAUAAUAGCUUGAGUAUUCUCGAGAAGAAAUUCAACUACAAAUCCACCAAGGUGAGUAAUGAAUUAGGAUUGAUUUUAGGUUGUUGAUAAUGGCUAGUAAUUGGAGUUGUGAGUUUUUUUAUUGUUGAGGUUUGUUUAUUUAUUUCUAGUGAUACUAGAGUAGAGAGAAUAGAUAGCUAAUCAAAAGGUAAUUGGAAGCUAGUUCAGAAUAAAAAGUAGAACUUGAUUUAAGAAAUAGCUUUUUAAAAUGCAUUUAUACAAAUUGGGUUGGUAGUGAUGUUGUGUGUGUGAUAGGUUCCAACGAGACCUUACGUGUCCAUUUGAAGCAAUAAUCGAAGUUAGAGUCAACUAAAGAUUCAACAGAUAUCAGUGAGUGAACUUGCAUUAAAGUGUUUUUGGGAAAUACAUAUGUGUUGGGAUGAAGCAUUUAAAUGAUUUUACUUGGUUUUCAUUAAAUUAUGCAUGGGAACAAGCUCUUGAUAAAAUGUUUUGAUGUUGUGAAAAUGUGAAAUGUGUAAAAAGAUGAAUCCAUGUGCUCCUAUAUUAUGUUGGUAUGUAUAUAUAUGAAUAUGUGUUGUGCAUUUAUGAAUAAUGCUGUGUGAUGAUGAUGACCUAGCUAUGUGCGAUGUGGUAGUGCACAUGAGCUGAUGAUGACCCGGCUAUGUGAGAGUAAGAAGUGCGCAUAAGCCGAUGAUGACCCCGCUAUGUGCGAGUAAGGAGUGUGCAUAAGCCGAUGAUGAUGACCCGGCUAUGACGAUAAAUGAAGUAGGGUGGUGUACAUGUUUAUAUAUGUUUAUAUAUGUAUAUGUGAUAGAAAGUUUAUGAUUAUAAUAUGUGAUUGAAAUGAAUAAUGAGAAACUUGAUUAUUGUCAAUGUGUUCACUUUGAUGUGCAAUAUAGUAGGAAUGGAUUUUGU